AAUAGAUACCCUGGUAGUCCACGCCGUAAACGAUGAGUGCUAAGUGUUAGAGGGUUUCCGCCCUUUAGUGCUGCAGCUAACGCAUUAAGCACUCCGCCUGGGGAGUACGGUCGCAAGACUGAAACUCAAAGGAAUUGACGGGGGCCCGCACAAGCGGUGGAGCAUGUGGUUUAAUUCGAAGCAACGCGAAGAACCUUACCAGGUCUUGACAUCCUCUGACAACUCUAGAGAUAGAGCGUUCCCCUUCGGGGGACAGAGUGACAGGUGGUGCAUGGUUGUCGUCAGCUCGUGUCGUGAGAUGUUGGGUUAAGUCCCGCAACGAGCGCAACCCUUGAUCUUAGUUGCCAGCAUUUAGUUGGGCACUCUAAGGUGGCUGCCGGUGACAAACCGGAGGAAGGUGGGGAUGACGUCAAAUCAUCAUGCCCCUUAUGACCUGGGCUACACACGUGCUACAAUGGAUGGUACAAAGGGCUGCAAGACCGCGAGGUCAAGCCAAUCCCAUAAAACCAUUCUCAGUUCGGAUUGU
rnacentral:rRNA from 1 species